GAUGAACGCUGGCGGCGUGCCUAAUACAUGCAAGUCGAGCGAACAGACGAGGAGCUUGCUCCUCUGACGUUAGCGGCGGACGGGUGAGUAACACGUGGAUAACCUACCUAUAAGACUGGGAUCACUUCGGGAAACCGGAGCUAAUACCGGAUAAUAUUUUGAACCGCAUGGUUCAAUAGUGAAAGACGGUUUUGCUGUCACUUAUAGAUGGAUCCGCGCUGCAUUAGCUAGUUGGUAAGGUAACGGCUUACCAAGGCAACGAUGCGUAGCCGACCUGAGAGAGUGAUCGGCCACACUGGAACGGAGACACGGUCCAGACGCCUACGGGAGGCAGCAGUAGGGAAUCUGCGGCAAUGGGCGAAAGCCUGACGGAGCAACGCCGCGUGAGUGAUGAAGGUCUUCGGAUCGUAAAACUCUGUUAUGAGGGAAGAACAAAUGUGUAAGUAACUGUGCACGUCUUGACGGUACCUAAUCAGAAAGCCACGGCUAACUACGUG
rnacentral:rRNA from 1 species